CCUGGCGGCACUAGCGCGGUGGUCCCACCUGACCCCAUGCCGAACUCAGAAGUGAAACGCCGUAGCGCCGAUGGUAGUGUGGGGUCUCCCCGUGUGAGAGUAGGGAACUGCCAGGC
rnacentral:rRNA from 1 species